rnacentral:rRNA from 1 species
GACGAACGCUGGCGGCGUGCUUAACACAUGCAAGUCGAACGGAAAGGCCCUGCUUUUGUGGGGUGCUCGAGUGGCGAACGGGUGAGUAACACGUGAGUAACCUGCCCUUGACUUUGGGAUAACUUCAGGAAACUGGGGCUAAUACCGGAUAGGAGCUCCUGCUGCAUGGUGGGGGUUGGAAAGUUUCGGCGGUUGGGGAUGGACUGGCGGCUUAUCAGCUUGUUGGGGGGGUAGUGGCUUACCAAGGCUUUGACGGGUAGCCGGCCUGAGAGGGUGACCGGCCACAUUGGGCCUGGGAUACGGCCCAGACUCCUACGGUAGGCAGCAGUGGGGAAUAUUGCACAAUGGGCGGAAGCCUGAUGCAGCAACGCCGCGUGCGGGAUGCCGGCCUGCGGGUUGUAAACCGCUUUCGCCUGUGACGAAGCGUGAGUGACGGUAAUGGGUAAAGAAGCACCGGCUAACUACGUG